rnacentral:rRNA from 1 species
AUGCAGUCCCCCACCGUAUCCACCGCGCGGCGGCGGCGGCCCGGCCUCGCCGCGGGAUCCCUCCUGGCCCUGGCCGUGCUCCUGGCGGCCGUCGGCGCGGCGGCGGCGGCGGGGGGCCCGGCCUCGCCGCAGGACGCGGCGGCGAUGCGGGCGGUCGCCAAGGCGCUGGCGGUCGACGGGUGGGUCGACUCCGCCGACCCCUGCUCGUGGGCCGGGGUGACCUGCGACUCCGGUGGCCGCGUCACCGGCGUCCAGGUCAAGGACAAAGGCCUGACGGGGACGCUGGCGCCCGAGGUCCGCAACCUCACCGCGCUCAUGCGCCUCGAGCUCUUCAACAACAGCCUCACCGGCCCGCUCCCCUCGCUGGCCGGCCUCGACUCGCUCGAGUACCUCAACCUCCACGACAACGGCUUCACCUUCAUCCCGGAGGAUUUCUUCAAGGGGCUGACCGCGCUCAAGGAGGUCUACCUCGACCACAACCCUUUCAAGCCGUGGCCGUUCCCGACCAGCCUCGGGGACUGCCAAUCGAUCACCAACUUCUCCGCCAACAGCGUCAACAUGACCGGGACGCUCCCGGACUUCUUCGGCUCGAUGCCGUCCCUCCAGGAGCUCAAUCUGGCAGGGAACUCACUGUCCGGGCCAGUGCCGCCGUCCCUGGCCGAUGCGCCGCUUGAGGUGCUCUGGCUCAACCAGAAAAUAGAGACCACCGGCUUCAGCGGGUCGAUUAGCUUCGUCGCCAAGAUGACCAAGGCCACGAAGCUGUGGCUGCACUCCAACGACUUCACCGGCCCCUUGCCGGACUUCUCGAAGCUUACCAGCCUUUCUGAUUUGGGUCUCCGUGACAACCAGCUCACCGGUCGAGUGCCAGACAGUCUUGUCAACCUGAAGUCUCUGAAGACGGUGAGCCUGGGGAACAAUUUGCUGCAGGGACCGAGUCCCAACUUUGCUCCCUCUGUUGAAGUUGACAGGACGGGUAAAAAUCAAUUCUGCUUGCCGCCUGGACAGCCGUGUGAUCCCCGUGUAGACCUGCUGCUGGAGGUAGAGGCUGGGUUCAUGUACCCAGCCAAGCUCGCAGCUGGUUGGGCGGGGAACGACCCAUGCAGCUAUCAGCCGGGCGUUGUAUGUGAUAGUGGUAAGAACAUCACGUCGCUGAAUUUUGCCAAAAUGGGGCUUAACGGGAGCAUCUCACCAUCUAUCGGCAAGAUUGCCACACUUGAGACGCUACUUCUUUCAGACAACAACAUUACUGGCACGGUGCCGAAGGAGCUCGCUGAGUUGCCAGCACUGAAAAAGGUCAAUCUGUCAAAUAACAAUCUAUAUGGGAAGCUUCCUGAAUUUCGCAAGAAUGUGUUGGUGAUACUUGAUGGCAACCCAAACUUCGGCAAGCCUGCUCCUGCGCCUGGACCAGGUGGUAACAGCAAUGACACUAAGCCUGGGGAUGGAAGUGGUGGAAGCAACAAGGCUUCCUCUUCUACCGGCGUCAUUGUUGGGUCAGUGGUUGGAGCUGUUGCUGUACUAGGCCUUAUUGCUGCAUUAGGGUUCUAUUGCUACAAGAGAAAGCAGAAGCCUUCCGGAAGGGUGCAGAGUCCACAUGCUAUGGUCAUCCAUCCCCGGCACUCAGGGUCAGAUCCUGACAUGGUAAAGAUCACAGUUGCUGGUGGAAAUGCCAAUGGUGGUGCGGCCACAAGCGAGCCAUAUAGCCAAGCAAGCAGUGCCCCCCGUGAUAUCCAUGUCGUUGAGGCUGGGAAUAUGGUCAUUUCAAUUCAAGUACUGCGUAAUGUGACCAACAACUUCAGUCAGGAGAACAUCCUUGGUCGUGGUGGGUUUGGUACUGUCUACAAGGGUGAGCUCCAUGAUGGUACAAAAAUUGCUGUGAAGCGAAUGGAGUCUGGUGUUAUGGGCAACAAGGGGUUAAAUGAGUUCAAAUCAGAGAUUUCUGUGCUGACCAAGGUCCGUCAUAGGAACCUUGUAUCGCUGCUUGGAUACUGUCUUGAUGGUAAUGAGAGGAUUCUUGUAUAUGAGUACAUGCCACAGGGUCCAGUGAGCCAACACCUGUUUGAGUGGAAAGAACACAAUUUGCAGCCGUUGGAAUGGAAGAGGCGACUCAGCAUUGCGCUCGAUGUUGCAAGAGGUGUUGAGUACCUGCACAGCCUUGCUCAGCAAACCUUCAUCCACAGAGACUUGAAACCAUCAAAUAUACUUCUUGGUGAUGACAUGAAGGCCAAGGUGGCAGACUUUGGAUUGGUGCGGCUUGCGCCAGCUGAUGGGAAGUGUGUAUCAGUAGAGACAAGGCUUGCUGGAACUUUUGGAUAUCUUGCCCCCGAGUAUGCAGUUACUGGACGUGUGACCACAAAAGCUGAUGUCUUCAGCUUUGGUGUCAUUUUGAUGGAGCUGGUCACGGGACGCAGGGCGCUUGAUGACACACAACCUGAGGAUAGCAUGCACCUGGUUACAUGGUUCCGGAGAAUGCAGCUCAACAAUGAUACGUUCCAGAAGGCGAUCGACACAACCAUCGACCUUGAUGAGGAGACCUUAGCCAGCGUUAGCACGGUCGCACAGCUCGCUGGUCACUGCUGUGCUAGGGAGCCACAUCAGAGGCCCGACAUGGGUCAUGCCGUCAACGUGCUCUCCACCCUUUCAGAAGUGUGGAAACCUGCAGACCCAGAUUCAGACGACAGUUACGGCAUUGACCUGGACAUGACGCUGCCUCAGGCGUUGAAGAAAUGGCAGGCCUUUGAGGACAGCAGCCAUUUCGACGGCGCGACCUCUUCGUUCCUCGCGAGCCUGGAUAACACCCAGACCAGCAUCCCGACGCGGCCUCCAGGGUUUGCUGAUUCCUUCACCUCCGCCGACGGAAGAUAA